AAGGAGAUAAUAUCAUUAUUUAUAAUUUUAUGUAUUUUUAUAGGAAUAACUUCUUUUAUAGUAAUUUUUAUUGAAUUAAUGUUUAAUGAGAUAGCUUAUUUGUACCGUGAGGGAUCUUUUUAAUUUAAUUGGAAGUAGUUUUUAAUUAAUGUACCUUUUGUAUCAGGGUUAAUCAAAUUUAUUUAUAUAUUUAAUUUUCCCGAAAUUAAGGGAGAUACAAACAUAUGUUAGUUAAUGUUUCAUAAUUAUUAAUAAUAUGUUUGUAGUAAUGAUAAGUUAUUCGUUCUUAAAUAUCUGGUUUUCUAGGAAUUGAAUUUAAUUCAGGAUCAUAAAGUUGUGUAGAUUUUAAUUUUUCUUAUGAUCUAAGAUCAUUGGGGAUAAGCUCGGUGAUAAAGUUAUAAUUUUAUGUAUUAUUUAUUUUAGUAGGCUUAAGAUCAGCCAUCCUUAAUUUCGUUAUAGAUUUGAUUUUUAUACUUUUUAUUUUUAAUAAAUUUAAUUACUUACUAGAAUUAUUUAUUUAAUUUUAUAGUAAAUGUAAUAAUGAUUAAAUUAGUAUAUAUUUUAAUUGAAAUAUAGGAAUUCGGCAAGUUUCAUAUUCGCCUGUUUAACAAAAACAUGUCCUUUUGUUUAGUAUAUAUAAGGUUUAACCUGCCCAAUGAAUUUUUUAAUGGCCGCGGUAUCUUAACCGUGCUAAGGUAGCAUAAUCAGUUGUCUUUUAAUUAAGGGCUUGUAUGAAGGGUUGGACGAGAUAUGGUCUUUCUUUAUUUCAAUUAUUGAAUUUAUCUUUCUAGUUAAAAGACUAGAAUAUAUCUAUGGGACGAGAAGACCCUAUAGAUCUUUAUAUUGAGAGGGUUUAAAUUAUUUGGUUAAUUAAUUUUUUAAUCUUUUUCUUUAUUUGAUUGGGGUGAUUGCAGAAAAUUUAUAACUUCUGUUUAUAUUGUUCAUUGAUGAGUGUUUUAAUGAUCCAUUAAUAGUGAUUAUAAGAUUAAGUUACCUUAGGGAUAACAGCGUAAUUUCUACGGAGAGUUCAUAUCGAUGUAGGAGUUUGCGACCUCGAUGUUGGAUUAAAAUAAGUAUUAGGCGUAGAAGUUUAAUAACUAGGUCUGUUCGACCUUUAAUUUUUUACAUGAUCUGAGUUCAGACCGGCGUGAGCCAGGUCAGUUUCUAUCUAUAGUUAAUUUUCAUAUUUUAGUACGAAAGGACCAAAUAUGGGGAAUAUUUUCUUUUAAUGAUUAAUAUU
rnacentral:rRNA from 1 species